GAUGAACGCUGGCGGCGUGCCUAACACAUGCAAGUCGAGCGAUCUUCUUCGGAAGAGAGCGGCGGACGGGUGAGUAACGCGUGGGUAACCUGCCUCAUACACAUGGAUAACAUACCGAAAGGUAUGCUAAUACAAGAUGAUAUAAGAGAUUCGCAUGGAUUUCUUAUCAAAGCUCCGGCGGUAUGAGAUGGACCCGCGUCUGAUUAGCUAGUUGGUAAGGUAACGGCUUACCAAGGCGACGAUCAGUAGCCGACCUGAGAGGGUGAUCGGCCACAUUGGAACUGAGACACGGUCCAAACUCCUACGGGAGGCAGCAGUGGGGAAUAUUGCACAAUGGGCGAAAGCCUGAUGCAGCAACGCCGCGUGAGCGAUGAAGGCCUUCGGGUCGUAAAGCUCUGUCCUCAAGGAAGAUAAUGACGGUACUUGAGGAGGAAGCCCCGGCUAACUACGUGCCAGCAGCCGCGGUAAUACGUAGGGGGCUAGCGUUAUCCGGAUUUACUGGGCGUAAAGGGUGCGUAGGUGGUUUCUUAAGUCAGGAGUGAAAGGCUACGGCUCAACCGUAGUAAGCUCUUGAAACUGGGAAACUUGAGUGCAGGAGAGGAAAGUGGAAUUCCUAGUGUAG
rnacentral:rRNA from 1 species